GAUGAACGCUGGCGGCGUGCCUAAUACAUGCAAGUCGAGCGAACAGAUGAGGAGCUUUCUCCUCUGACGUUAGCGGCGGACGGGUGAGUAACACGUGGAUAACCUACCUAUAAGACUGGGAUAACUUCGGGAAACCGGAGCUAAUACCGGAUAAUAUAUUGAACCGCAUGGUUCAAUAGUGCAAGACGGUUUUGCUGUCACUUAUAGAUGGAUCCGCGCCGGAUUAGCUAGUUGGUAAGGUAACGGCUUUCCAAGGCAACGGUGCGUAGCCGAACUGAGAGGGGGAUCAGCCACAACGGAACUUGGGACAGGUCCCAACUCCCAAGGGAGGGCGGAGUGGGGAAUAUUGCCGAAAGGGGGGAAAGCUGGACGGAGCAAAGCGGGGGGGUUGAGGAGGGUUUUCGGUUCGUAAAACUCUGUUUUGGGGAAGAAACAAAGGUGUAAGAAACUAUGCACGUCUGGACGGUACCAAAGAAGAAAGCCCGGGCUAACUCGUG
rnacentral:rRNA from 1 species